rnacentral:rRNA from 1 species
CAGAGGUCCCAAGCGUUGUUCGGAUUCACUGGGCGUAAAGGGUGCGUAGGCGGUCGGGUAAGUCUGAUGUGAAAUCUCGGAGCUCAACUCCGAAACUGCAUUGGAUACUAUUCGGCUUGAGGUCUGGAGGGGGGACUGGAAUUCUCGGUGUAGCAGUGAAAUGCGUAGAUAUCGAGAGGAACACCAGUGGCGAAGGCGAGUCCCUGGACAGGUCCUGACGCUGAGGCACGAAAGCUAGGGGAGCAAACAGGAUUAGAUACCCUGGUAGUCCUAGCCGUAAACGGUGCGUAUUUGCUGUAAUAGGAAUCGACCCCUUUUGUGGCGUAGCAAACGCGUUAAAUACGCCGCCUGGGAAGUACGGUCGCAAGAUUA